ensembl:snRNA U4 U4 spliceosomal RNA
AGCCUUGCGCAGUGGCAGUAUCGUAGCCAAUGAGGUUUAUCCGAGGCGCGAUUAUUGCUAAUUGAAAACUUACCACUCUUGGCCAUAUCAUCAGUGGGGGAACCUGUCAAAAUAUAAGCAUAAUUCUUUACAUAA